rnacentral:lncRNA from 1 species
GAAUGAUUAAUAAAGUAGAAUUUUACCAUACAACUCAGUUAUUUCCACAGAAUAUCCACCAAUAUUUUACUACCCUAAUCAUUCUACAAUAAAAUUUGGCAUCUUCCUUAAAUGAAUGAAGUAUAUAAAUGCUUUGCCAGUCAAUGUAAAACCCCUAGAGGUGAUAGAUGUCUUGGAUUGAUCUUCAAAAAACUGAUAAAAGACAGUUAUAUCCAGAUGCUACUUCCUAUAGAAAGUCCAAAGCCAGGAGGACUCAAUGUGGAUGCACUGCCACUGAACGUUUCACUUGUACUUCUCAAAAGAAAUUUGUAAUUAACCAUGUUUAAUUUGGAUUCUUAAUUUAAUAAGGAUCUAAGAAGCUAAAAAUAUAAUUCAUUUAUAUAAAACUAUUUUUAGGAUACAAAAUAAGAUUAGACAUACUAUUAUUUUGACUCUUUAAAAAUCCAUAUGAUUUAAAUUACUCCUUAUUGUUUGGCUAUUAUUUACAGCCAUACAGUGAAGGCCAAAUUAAAGCCCGGGAAACUGAUUUACAACAGUCAUUUCUUAUUUGAUGAUAAUCUGUGUCCUAUAUAUCUUAAUGUAUUCUUUUAGGCUUGUAUCUGCCUCAGUAUUCACCUUGUUUAUGGACAUAAUCCAUUCUCUCAUGAUGCUAUGACCCCUGAAAAUAUUGUUGGUAAUAUUCUAACUUUCUAACAUAAGAUGAUAUCCAAAAAGAGAUCUCUGGCAUUCAAUUGUUGCCUCAUUUUCCCCGUCCUGCAAAUGGCCC